AUUGAACGCUGGCGGCAGGCCUAACACAUGCAAGUCGAGCGGAUGAGAAGAGCUUGCUCUUCGAUUCAGCGGCGGACGGGUGAGUAAUGCCUAGGAAUCUGCCUGGUAGUGGGGGACAACGUUUCGAAAGGAACGCUAAUACCGCAUACGUCCUACGGGAGAAAGCAGGGGACCUUCGGGCCUUGCGCUAUCAGAUGAGCCUAGGUCGGAUUAGCUAGUUGGUGAGGUAAUGGCUCACCAAGGCUACGAUCCGUAACUGGUCUGAGAGGAUGAUCAGUCACACUGGAACUGAGACACGGUCCAGACUCCUACGGGAGGCAGCAGUGGGGAAUAUUGGACAAUGGGCGAAAGCCUGAUCCAGCCAUGCCGCGUGUGUGAGAAGGUCUUCGGAUUGUAAAGCACUUUAAGUUGGGAGAAGGGCAGUAACUUAAUACGUUGCUGUUUUGACGUUACCGACAGAAUAAGCACCGGCUAACUCUGUGCCAG
rnacentral:rRNA from 1 species